rnacentral:rRNA from 1 species
AGAAUCAACGCUGGCGGCGUGCCUAACACAUGCAAGUCGAACGAGAAAGUGGAGCAAUCCAUGAGUAAAGUGGCGCACGGGUGAGUAACACGUGACUAACCUACCCUUGAGUGGGGGAUAACCUAGAGAAAUCUGGGCUAAUACCGCAUAAUACCUUCGGGUCAAAGGAGCAAUUCGCUUAAGGAGGGGGUCGCGGCCGAUUAGUUAGUUGGCGGGGUAAUGGCCCACCAAGACUAUGAUCGGUAUCCGGCCUGAGAGGGCGCACGGACACACUGGGACUGAGACACGGCCCAGACUCCUACGGGAGGCAGCAGUUAGGAAUUUUCCGCAAUGGGCGAAAGCCUGACGGAGCAACGCCGCGUGAGUGAUGAAGACCUUCGGGUUGUAAAGCUCUGUCGGAGGGGAAGAACACAAUGACGGUACCCUCCAAGAAAGCCCCGGCUAACUACGUGCCAGCAGCCGC